AUCUCGGUAUCAUCUGCAGAAUAUGGUACUAAUGCAAAGGAGUCUGUAACAGACUAUACUACACCCUCUUCUUCUCUGCCUAACACUGUGGCUACUAAUAACACAAAGAUGGAGGAUACUUUGGUUAAUAAUGUGCCCCUGCCUAACACCCUUCCCUUCCCUAAGAGAGAGACUAUACAACAGAGCUCCAGCCUAACUUCAGGUCCUCCCACUACUUUCAGCCUCACCUUCAAGAUGGAGUCUGCACGCAAGGAUAGGGAGAAUUCUCCAAAUGUAAGGGAAAAGGGGUCUCCAGUAACUUCCACAGCACCUCCAAUUGCAACUGGAGUCAGCAGUAGUGCCAGUGCACCAAGCACUGCUAAUUAUAAUUCGUUCUCAAGUGCAUCGAUGCCCCAGAUUCCUGUUGCUUCAGUCACUCCUACAACAUCACUAUCAGGAGCUGGUACGUACACUACCUCUUCUUUGAGCACAAAAUCUACAACCACAUCGGACCCUCCAAAUAUUUGUAAAGUGAAACCUCAGCAGUUGCAGACAAGCAGCCUGCCUUCUGCAAGUCAUUUUUCACAGUUAAGCUGUUUGCCUUCCCUUAUUGCCCAGCAACAACAGAGUCUGCAAGUUUAUGUGUCUCAGUCUGCAGCAGCUCAAAUCCCAGCCUUCUAUAUGGACACAAGUCAUUUAUUUAAUACCCAGCAUGCACGAUUGGCUCCACCAUCCUUGGCUCAACAACAGGGUUUCCAACCAGGUCUCUCUCAGCCAACUUCAGUUCAGCAGAUUCCAAUCCCUAUUUAUGCACCACUGCAAGGGCAGCAUCAAGCCCAACUGAGUUUGGGGGCUGGACCUGCUGUUUCCCAGGCUCAGGAAUUGUUCAGCUCUUCACUUCAACCAUAUAGAUCUCAGCCAGCUUUUAUGCAAAGCAGUUUAUCCCAGCCAUCUGUGGUCCUUUCUGGGACUGCUAUUCACAACUUUCCAACUGUCCAACACCAAGAACUUGCCAAGGCACAAUCUGGUCUUGCCUUUCAGCAAACAUCAAAUACCCAGCCUAUUCCCAUAUUGUAUGAACAUCAACUGGGGCAGGCAUCAGGACUAGGAGGUUCCCCGCUGAUUGACACACAUCUUCUCCAGGCUAGAGCAAAUCUUACCCAGGCUUCAAAUCUUUAUUCUGGACAAGUACAACAGCCUGGUCAGACAAAUUUUUAUAACACUGCCCAGUCACCAAGUGCUCUCCAGCAGGUUACAGUACCUUUACCAGGAUCCCAGCUUUCCUUGCCUAAUUUUGGAUCUACAGGGCAACCUCUAAUUGCUUUGCCUCAGACUCUUCAGUCCCCGUUACAGCAUACCACUCCCCAAGCACAGGCUCAGAGUCUGAGUCGUCCUGCACAAGUAAGCCAGCCUUUCAGAGGAUUAAUUCCUGCUGGAACACAGCAUAGCAUGAUUGCAACCACAGGAAAAAUGUCUGAAAUGGAACUAAAAGCCUUUGGAAGUGGCAUUGAUAUAAAACCAGGCACACCUCCAAUCGCUGGUAGAAGCACCACACCAACAUCUAGUCCCUUCCGGGCUACUUCUACAAGUCCGAACAGCCAGUCCAGCAAAAUGAACAGUAUUGUCUACCAGAAGCAGUUCCAGUCAGCCCCUGCCACUGUGAGAAUGACACAAACCGUUUCCUACACAGUUUGCACCCCAGAAGAGAGCUGUGGGAAGAGGACUCAGCCACAAGACAUUUGGUCCUAGGUGUUGGCAAAGCAGAGAGCAGAGGUUCUUCAGUCCACGCAACGGUUCUUCUCUGAACAGCAUCAGAGCAAACAGAUAGGAGGCAAAGCCCAGAAAGUGGACAGUGAUUCAAGUAAACCUCCUGAAACACUGACCGACCCUCCUGGUGUCUGUCAGGAAAAAGUAGAAGAAAAGCCACCCCCUGCACCCUCCAUAGCCACCAAACCUGUUAGAACUGGACCAAUCAAACCUCAGGCAAUCAAAACCGAAGAAACAAAAUCUUAAAGGCUAUGGUUUAUUGCAGGGGAUUGGGGGUGGGGGGAGGGAAAACAUGGAGAAUUAAGUCAGAUAAUGCCAGCAGCCAAA